rnacentral:lncRNA from 1 species
AGGGCUGGGAGGCAGAGGAGUGUGUGUGUGUGUGUUCGCCAAGACUUGGUGGUGUGUGUGUAUUUGGGUGCAUCUGCUGGUUUGUUAGUAUAUACCUGCUGUUGGAGAAUCAUGUUGUUGCCUCUGUUUACAGUUACUCAGGUAUUAAUCAUAUGUAUACAUUUUGGCAUGUGUAUUUUUUGUGUGUUUAUAUCUGUGGAUAAUUCUACUAAUGUUUGUGCACAUUAGUCCAUGUGCUCCCAUUUUUAUUGAUCAGUGUGUAUUUGUGUUUACGUACUUGCAGCCACACGAUUGUGAUAGGGUUUACUUGCGGGAGUGUGCAGUUCUUGUCCUCAUAGUCCUCGGUCUCUACAGGAAGUGAUUGUGCUGUGGACAGAGAGUUGACAGGUGCUGGUCACUGGGUGGUGCAUUGACCCACAAGCUGGGCUUCUGAGAAGGAGUCCCCAAACUGGGCAGCUUCCACUAUUACUUCUUCCUCCAGCUUGCCGAGCAAGGGACCUAUGUCUACACUGCUUAGAGAUGUGGCUGGUUGGAGCCAGGUUCAGCCAGGAGCAAGCAGGCUGGAUCUCCUGGCCAGGAGAGCUCCAGGAGCCCCAAGUGAAAUCGUAGCUUCUGGCAGCACCUGGUUUCGGAGCAUGAAGGGUCCUUGCGCUCCAGCAGGACAGGGACAGAACAAAACAAGGACUCACUUUUUUUCCUCCUCCUUGCUGAGAGGAACGAGACAUCCAGGCUCCAGGUGGAGGGUAAUGCAUGGAGACGCAAUGUCACUUAUACAAGAUGUUGAUGGAAUUUACCAUAUAAAAAUCUUCCUCCUAGAGUAA